GAUGAACGCUAGCGGCAGGCCUAAUACAUGCAAGUCGAACGGGAUUAAGAGGCUUGCUUCUUAUGAGAGUGGCGCACGGGUGCGUAACACGUAUGCAACCUACCUUCAACUGGGGGAUAGCCUUCCGAAAGGGAGAUUAAUACCGCAUAACAUAAUUGAGUGGCAUCACUUGAUGAUCAAACGUCAGGGUUGAAGAUGGUCAUGCGUCCGAUCAGGUUGUUGGUGAGGUAACGGCUCACCAAGACUACGAUCGGUAGGGGAUCUGAGGGGAUGGACCCCGACACUGGUACGGGGACACGGAGCAGACUCCUACGGGAGGCAGCAGUAAGGAAUAUUGGUCAAUGGACGGAAGUCUGAACCAGCCAUGCCGCGUGCAGGAAGACGGUCCGCUGGAUUGUAAACUGCUUUUGUUAGGGAAGAAACUUCCGUACGUGUACGGGACUGACGGUACCUAAAGAAUAAGGAUCGGCUAACUCCGUGCCAGCAGCCGCCGUAAGAC
rnacentral:rRNA from 1 species